UACAGAGGUCUCAAGCGUUGUUCGGAUUCAUUGGGCGUAAAGGGUGCGUAGGUGGCAAGGUAAGUCGGGUGUGAAAUCCCGGGGCUCAACCCUGGAACUGCACUCGAUACUGCCAUGCUCGAGUACUGGAGAGGAGACUGGAAUUUACGGUGUAGCAGUGAAAUGCGUAGAUAUCGUAAGGAAGACCAGUGGCGAAGGCGGCAUCCUGGACCGGCAUUGACGCUGAGGAGCGAAAGCCAGGGGAGCAAACGGG
rnacentral:rRNA from 1 species